AGCGAACGCUGGCGGCAGGCUUAACACAUGCAAGUCGAGCGGGCACUUUCGGGUGUCAGCGGCGGACGGGUGAGUAACGCGUGGGAACGUGCCCUCUGGUUCGGAAUAACUCAGGGAAACUUGAGCUAAUACCGGAUACGCCCUUUUGGGGAAAGGCUUGCUGCCGGAGGAUCGGCCCGUGUCUGAUUAGCUAGUUGGUGAGGUAACGGCUCACCAAGGCGACGAUCAGUAGCUGGUCUGAGAGGAUGAUCAGCCACACUGGGACUGAGACACGGCCCAGACUCCUACGGGAGGCAGCAGUGGGGAAUAUUGGACAAUGGGCGCAAGCCUGAUCCAGCCAUGCCGCGUGAGUGAUGAAGGCCUUAGGGUUGUAAAGCUCUUUUAUCCGGGACGAUAAUGACGGUACCGGAGGAAUAAGCCCCGGCUAACUUCGUG
rnacentral:rRNA from 1 species